rnacentral:rRNA from 1 species
GGCCCAGAUCGUUUACCGUGAAAAAAUUAGAGUGUUCAAAGCAGGCAGAUCCAAUUUUCUGCCACCGAAUACAUUAGCAUGGGAUAAUGGAAUAGGACCCUGUCCUCCUAUUUUCAGUUGGUUUUGGCAGCGCGAGGACUAGGGUAAUGAUUAAUAGGGAUAGUUGGGGGCAUUAAUAUUUAAUUGUCAGAGGUGAAAUUCUUGGAUUUAUGAAAGAUUAACUUCUGCGAAAGCAUCUGCCAAGGAUGUUUUCAUUAACCAAGAACGAAAGUUAGGGGAUCGAAGACGAUCAGAUACCGUCGUAGUCUUAACCAUAAACGAUGCCGACCAGCGAUUAGGAGACGUUGAAUACAAAACACCACCAUCGGCGCGGUCGUCCUUGGCGUCUCGGUCCUUCACGGGGCCGGGGCGCGGGGGCGGCUUAGCCCGGUGGCACCGGUGAAUGACUCCCUAGCAGCUUGUGAGAA